rnacentral:antisense_RNA from 1 species
UUCUUUUAUUAAAAAUUUAGUUUCCGUUUU